GAUGAACGCUAGCGGCAGGCCUAAUACAUGCAAGUCGAACGGGAUCCAGAUCAAAGCUUGCUUUGGUCUGGUGAGAGUGGCGCACGGGUGCGUAACGCGUGAGCAACCUACCCUUGUCAGGGGGAUAGCCCGGCGAAAGUCGGAUUAAUACCGCAUGACAUCAUUGAGAGGCAUCUUUCGAUGAUCAAAGAUUUAUCGGACAAGGAUGGGCUCGCGUGACAUUAGCUAGUUGGUAAGGUAACGGCUUACCAAGGCUGUGAUGUCUAGGGGCUCUGAGAGGAGAAUCCCCCACACUGGUACUGAGACACGGACCAGACUCCUACGGGAGGCAGCAGUAAGGAAUAUUGGUCAAUGGACGGAAGUCUGAACCAGCCAUGCCGCGUGCAGGAGGACGGCCCUAUGGGUUGUAAACUGCUUUUAUACGGGAACAAACGUCGGUACGUGUACCGGUCUGAGUGUACCGUAAGAAUAAGGAUCGGCUAACUCCGUG
rnacentral:rRNA from 1 species